rnacentral:rRNA from 1 species
UACGGAGGAUGCGAGCGUUAUCCGGAUUUAUUGGGUUUAAAGGGUGCGUAGGCGGAAUAAUAAGUCAGUGGUGAAACCCUGCAGCUUAACUGUAGACUUGCCAUUGAUACUGUUUUUCUUGAGUAUGGUCAAGGCAGGCGGAAUGUGUAAUGUAGCGGUGAAAUGCUUAGAUAUUACACAGAACACCGAUAGCGAAGGCAGCUUGCUGGGCCGUUACUGACGCUGAUGCACGAAAGCGUGGGGAUCGAAC